rnacentral:misc_RNA from 1 species
UCCGGUUUGUCACCGGCAGUCCCAUUAGAGUGCCCAACUAAAUGUAGCAACUAAUGGCAAGGGUUGCGCUCGUUGCGGGACUUAACCCAACAUCUCACGACACGAGCUGACGACAGCCAUGCAGCACCUGUGUCUAGGUUCCCUUUCGGGCACACUCACAUUUCUGCGAGCUUCCUAGCAUGUCAAGGGUAGGUAAGGUUUUUCGCGUUGCAUCGAAUUAAACCACAUCAUCCACCGCUUGUGCGGGCUCCCGUCAAUUCCUUUGAGUUUCAAUCUUGCGAUCGUACUCCCCAGGUGGAAUACUUAACGCUUUCGCUUAGACGCGUACAGUGUAUCGCACACAUCUAGCACCCAUCGUUUACGGUGUGGACUAC